ensembl:misc_RNA Metazoa_SRP Metazoan signal recognition particle RNA
GGCAGGCGUAGUGCUCAUGCCUCUAAUCCCAGCACUUUGGGAGGCUGAGGUGGGUAGGUCACUUGAGGUCAGGAGUUCGAGACCAGCCUGACCAACAUGGUAAAACCCUGUCUCUACUAAAAAUGCAAAAUUAGCUGGGCUUGGUGGUGCACACCUCUAAUCCCAGCAACUUGGGAGGCUGAAGCUAAUUUUGCAUUUUUAAGUAGAGACAGGGUUUUACCAUGUUGGCCAGGCUGGUCUCGAACUCCUGACCUCAAGUGACUUACCCACCUCAG